rnacentral:tRNA from 1 species
GCCCGGGUGGCGGAACGGCAGACGCGGCAGACUUAAAAUUUGCCGGCCGAUAGGCCAUGAGGGUUCGACUCCCUCCCCGGGCACC